rnacentral:lncRNA from 1 species
AUUUUUUUACAAUUUUAAUUUAACGUGUGGAUGUGAUAAUAUUUAACAUACAAAACAAAAAUAAUCAGUAAAUUAUCAUAUACAUAGUAAAAACUUAAACCAAAACAGGAAAUUGAUGUUAACCUUUGACCUCAUUUUCCACCUGUGAACGAGUGAAAGGUAGAGCUAGUGGUAAGAUGGAUCGUGUUUGUUGCCCACAUUUCCACGGGUUCAGUCAGAAACGAAUGAAUGUUUGGAAGUGAUCUCAGACCCACAAAAACCUACGGAUCUGGUAAAUUUAGUUCACAGUAAAGAUGUUUGCUUCAGUUUAAUUAUCAG